UUCUAUAAAUGCAGACAAUUCCCUUUGUUCAAGUCACAGCACAUAAAAGCAUCAAAAGAAGAAGAAAUAAAAAUUACAACAAUUUCAAAUCAAAGAGAAGUAAGAGAAGAAAUGGCAGGUUCUAACUGUGGAUGUGGUUCCGCUUGCAAAUGUGGUGACUCUUGCAGUUGCGAGAAGAACUACAACACGGAGUGCGACAACUGCAGCUGCGGGUCAAACUGUAGCUGUGGAGACAACUGCAGCUGUUGAAAGAAAACCACAUGCAUGCAGGAAAACUGGGGGAAUUAUGUGUUUGAUGUUAAGAGAUAUGUGUGUGUGUUUGAAUAACGAUUUGGGCUUUAUGUUGCCUAAUACCUCUCUUAACGUUUGACUUUUCCUGCUUUAUAUCUUUAUAUGUGUGGUGUAUAAUGUUUUCAUUUGUAACCUACGAAAAAAAGAAAGAAAAUAUCUAUUGUGUUAUAAAUCA